ACACUCAGCACAGAGCCAGAUGUGGGGCUCAUUCUCACAACCCUGAGAUCAUGACCUGAGUCACAAUUAAGUCAUCUGCUUAACUGACUGAGCCACCCAGGUGCUCUUUAGACUUUCUUUAUCUUAGGUGGGACAAGAAGCAAGGAAGUGAUAUGAUCAGAUUGUAUUUUAAUGACCUUCCGUUAGCUGCUGUGAGGAGAAUGGAAAGGCAGAAUGUAAAAGACAAGUGGGUAGUUCAGCUAGGAGACCAUUUAGUUCUCUGGAUGACAAAGUAAUUCGUACUAGAAUGUGGACAGUGGAAAUGGAGAGAAGUGAUUCAGAUGGAUAUGCUAUAGAAGUAGAAUUAGUAAGAUUUGGGGAAAGGAUUGAAUGUGAGAGGGGUGGGGUAAAGGUAUCAAGGAUAUGCCCAGGUUUCUGCCAAAAGCUUCUUGGCCAAGGGCAGUGACAUUUACAGAUUCAAUGAAUCUGGAUGUAGAGCAGAUCAGUGAAGGAGAGCAAGAAUUCAGUCUUAUUGAUUUCUAGAGAUCUUUAUAAAUAAUAGAUAUAAAUUUCCAAUUUAUAAAUUCAAGCUGAAUAAAAUGUUUAUCUAAUGUAAAUUUGUAUAUUCAACUAAAAAAGCAACUGGCAAUUCAAUUGUGAAUAUUACAUCUGCAGAGAGAGAAAGAGAAAAAAAAGAGAAAAUUCCUCUAUUGGCAUAAUAUUAACUAAGCUUUUCUGUGUGAAAUAACUUAGGCCAUGAUAGAGGCAUCUUGAGUAAUAAGAACUUUAUACAGUUUAACCUCUAGCAUGAAUUCAUUCUGAAACAGGAAAGAAUAUUGUCAUUAAAUGUGUCAUUUGAGUUUCUUAGGUCUCAUUUUGUCUUAGAAGAAACUAUCCUCCUCCAUUCCCCAAGGGUCUACACAAUUAAGAGCUUAAGCAAUUACUGGAGUUGGUUCUUACCUUUAAAAAUUACACAAAUGUUCUUAAACAAAAUGGAAGUGAAGCCUACCUGUUGAAAUCUACUUUCCUUUUUCGCAACGGGUUUGCCGCCAGAACACAGGUGUCGUGAAAACCACCGCUAAACCUAAACCAAAAUGGGAAAGGAGAAGACUCACAUCAACAUCGUCGUCAUUGGACACGUAGAUUCGGGCAAGUCUACCA